rfam:Canis lupus familiaris chromosome 22, whole genome shotgun sequence.
ACCUGGCUGGCUUAGUUGGAAGAGCAUGUGACUCCUGAUCUUGGGGUUGUGAGUUUGAGCCCCACGUUGGGUG